CGGCGCACGGGUGAGUAACGCGUAUGCAACCCUCCUUUAACUGGGGGAUAGCCCGGAGAAAUUCGGAUUAAUACCCCAUAACAUUGCAGAAAGGCAUCCUUCAGCAAUUAAAGCUCCGGCGGUUAAAGAUGGGCAUGCGUGCCAUUAGCUAGUUGGUGAGGUAACGGCUCACCAAGGCUACGAUGGUUAGGGGGUCUGAGAGGAUGAUCCCCCACACUGGUACUGAGACACGGACCAGACUCCUACGGGAGGCAGCAGUGAGGAAUAUUGGUCAAUGGGCGCAAGCCUGAACCAGCCAUCCCGCGUGAAGGAAGACGGCGCUAUGCGUUGUAAACUUCUUUUCCAGGGGGCGAAUAGCUUCGACGUGUCGGGGUAUGACGGUACCCUGGGAAUAAGCAUCGGCUAACUCCGUGCCAGCAGCCGCGGUAAUACGGAGGAUGCAAGCGUUAUCCGGAUUUAUUGGGUUUAAAGGGUGCGUAGGCGGAAAAAUAAGUCAGUGGUGAAAACCUGCAGCUUAACUGUGGAACUGCCAUUGGUACUGUUAUUCUUGAGUAUGGUCAAGGUAGGCGGAAUGUGUAAUGUAGCGGUGAAAUGCUUAGAUAUUACACAGAACACCGAUUGCGAAGGCAGCUUACUGGGCCAUUACUGACGCUGAUGCACGAAAGCGUGGGGAGCGAACAGGAUUAGAUACCCUGGUAGUCCACGCCGUAAACGAUGAUCACUCGCUGUUGGCGAUACACAGUCAGCGGCUAAGCAAAAGCAUUAAGUGAUCCACCUGGGGAGUACGGCCGCAAGGCUGAAACUCAAAGGAAUUGACGGGGGCCCGCACAAGCAGUGGAGCAUGUGGUUUAAUU
rnacentral:rRNA from 1 species